UACAGAGGUCCCAAGCGUUGUUCGGAUUCAUUGGGCGUAAAGGGCGCGUAGGCGGCCUGCUAAGUCGGACGUGAAAUCCCUCGGCUUAACCGGGGAACUGCGUCCGAUACUGGUUGGCUUGAGUUUGGGAGAGGGAUGCGGAAUUCCAGGUGUAGCGGUGAAAUGCGUAGAUAUCGAGAGGAACACCGGUGGCGAAGGCGGCCAACUGGACGAAUACUGACGCUGAGACACGAAAGCGUGGGGAGCAAACAGG
rnacentral:rRNA from 1 species